rnacentral:lncRNA from 1 species
UCUUUUCUUGAACCCCCAAAACUUUUUGAUUUUAUUAUUUUUUUUUUCUUUUUUAUUUUAUUUUCUUGAACCCCAGAACUUUUUCUUUCUCGCGAGUGAUCCCCGAUCACCGCAUUUGAACCCCGACAACCAUGUCACUCUUGCUGCUAAAUAAUGAACCUCGUUCUCCAUUUGAACCCCAGUCGCCUGACGAUAACUCGUAAUCGUCGUCGUGAACCCCAUUCUCUAGAAAAC